rnacentral:rRNA from 1 species
AACGUAGGAGGCGAGCGUUAUCCGGAUUUAUUGGGCGUAAAGGGCAAGUAGGCGGUAGGCAAAGUUGGUUGUGACAUCUCCUGGCUCAACUGGGAGGGUGCGGCCAAAACUAGCAUACUAGAGGGCAGAAGAGGGAAGUGGAAUUCCUGGUGUAGCGGUGGAAUGCUCAGAUACCAGGAGGAACACCAGUGGCGAAGGCGGCUUCCUGGUCUGCACCUGACGCUGAGAGGCGAAAGCUAGGGGAGCGAACGGGCUUAGAUACCCCGGUAGUCCUAGCCGUAAACGUUGGAUACUGGGUAUUUGGGAGGUAAGACUUCUGAGUGCCGAAGCAAACGCGUUAAGUAUCCCGCCUGGGGACUACGGCCGCAAGGUUAAAACUCAAAGGAAUUGACGGGGACCCGCACAAGCAGCGGAGCGUGUGGUUUAAUUCGAUGCAACACGAAGAACCUUACCUGGGAUUGACAUGUACGUAGUAGGGAAGUGAAAGCGGACCGGCCCUUCGGGGAGCGUACACAGGUGCUGCAUGGCU